ensembl:misc_RNA Y_RNA Y RNA
GGCUUAUCUGAAGGCAGUGAGUUAGCUCAAUUCAUUGUUCACAGUCUGUUAUAGAUCAAUCUCCUUAUUCUAUUCCCUGCCCCCCACUACUGCAUUUAACUAGUCCUAA